CGGCGAGUGAAGCGGCAAUAGCUCAAAUUUGAAAGCUGGCCCCUUUGGGGUCCGCGUUGUAAUUUGUAGAGGAUGAUUCGGCGAGGGCUCCCGUCUAAGUCCCCUGGAACGGGGCGUCAUAGAGGGUGAGAAUCCCGUAUGUGAUGGGUUGCCUUAGCCAUGUGAAUCUCCUUCGACGAGUCGAGUUGUUUGGGAAUGCAGCUCUAAAUGGGAGGUAAAUUUCUUCUAAAGCUAAAUACCGGCCAGAGACCGAUAGCGCACAAGUAGAGUGAUCGAAAGAUGAAAAGCACUUUGGAAAGAGAGUUAAAAAGUACGUGAAAUUGUUGAAAGGGAAGCGCUUGCAGCCAGACUUGUCCGCAGUUGCUCAGCCGGUCUCCUGACCGGCGUACUCUUCUGCGGCCAGGCCAGCAUCAGUUCGGGCGGUCGGAUAAAGACCCCAGGAAUGUAGCUCCUCUCGGGGAGUG
rnacentral:rRNA from 1 species